rnacentral:rRNA from 1 species
GCUUGUCUCAAAGAUUAAGCCAUGCAUGUCUAAGUAUAAACAACUUUAUACUGUAAAACUGCGAACGGCUCAUUAUAUCAGCAAUAAUUUAUUUGAUGGUUUCUUACCCCAUGGAUAACUGUGGUAAUUCUAGAGCUAAUACAUGACUAAAAGGGCUAGCCCUGCAUUUAUUAGAUACAACCAACCCUUCGGGUUUUGGCGAAUCAUAAUAACUGAGCGGACCGUAUUCGUACGGCGUUUCUUAUUAAUUUCUGCCCUAUCAGCUUUCGAUGGUAGGGUAUUGGCCUACCAUGGCGUUAACGGGUAACGGAGAAUUAGGGUUCGAUUCCGGAGAGGGAGCCUGAGAGAUGGCUACCACAUCCAAGGAAGGCAGCAGG